GGCGGGAAAGCCCGCCCCCUGCCCCGGGGCGUCAUGGGAGAGAGGCCAGCCCCCAGCCUUGAGAGUCAUUCCUGUCAUCUUGAAGGGAAGCCACCGAAAGCUUCAUGACCACAAGAGGGCGUGUUCUGUUUUGAAUUUAAUGUAUCCGACUGCUCUCAGUGCCAGUCACAACAUCUGAACAGGUGCGUACAGCAUCUCUGCCACUUCUUCUGUCCUCUGCCUGAGUGCAUUGUGCCUGGCCUGGACAGACCACAUCUCAAAAGGAGACAAGAAUGACUUUGCAAAGCUGAUAGUGCACAGUGGAACAGGCUCCUAGAUGAAACCCAGGCUGUGCUGAAGUCUGUGAGUUAGUGCCAAAUGCAGAUUGGACUCUGAACACACAUGCACAGAAGUUGGAUAAGAGCUCAGGAUCUUCUGAAUGAAAAACACUAGUAUUUUUUCAUCUGAGUAAAAGGUGUCAUCGUGCAGGAGUGAAAGAGUUCAGCAAAGGUUAAUUAUCACAUAAAUUAUGUCUUCCUCAGCAGUCUGGGUAAACCUGAGUGGGUGAACUGGCAUGGAGGGAUUAUGAACUGCUAAUGAUGAACUGAUGGUAUAUCCUGGCCUAGAAACCCUUCUGAAACAGAGUCAUGCUCUGCCCAGUGGGUUUGACAGCCUUGCUCUUGCACUGAAUUUCUCAAUCUGUGAGCCAUGGCUGACUGGCAAAGUGCUACGAAGAGCAUCCCAUCCUCCUCUAAGACACAUGUGUGAGGAGGCAAGAAAAAUUCACAUUUAGUUGAAGUGAGAUAGGGGAUCAUAGACUGAGAAGCAACUCUUAUCAAACCAGUGUAGGACAAAACACCUUGUGCUGCUAACCAGAGCUGCCUCAGGGCGCUACAGCACUAUAGGCAAUGUUGAAUUUUGCUGCAUCAAGGGAAAAGGGUUUGAGUCAGGUUGGGCUUAACCUAGAAGGGACCUGGACAAGAAGGAAAGGGAAAGAUGAUGAGUGAACUGCGUGUCUGUGUUUCCCUUUCCCGCCAGAACUAUUGGAGGGGGUGCGGCAGUGAGAUCUGCUGCUGAGAGGAGCCACCUUGCAAGCGUGGUCUGUCACCCCACACACCCUGGCCAGCUGCAGCACAGAGCACCCUUAUCUCCAGCCUGCUGGCAAAAGUACUGGCAGCUUCCGACUUCCCCAAAGCUGGGCCUGGGCCUUCCCAAGGUCCCUGCAUUUGCUUUCCCUACAUUCUGAAUAGCAAACAAGCAGCUUAAUUUCUGAAAUUGGGAGAUAAUUUUGGUUUUAGGCUUAAAGUUUUCAUGCAUCAUUUAAGCCUCUAUGAAUUUAAAAGUGAUGAAUAUUUCCUCCAUCAAGAUAUACAGCAACUGAAAUGCUUACUUAUCCUAUUAGAACGACAUCUCUUUAAUAUGAAUAUUGCCAGUGGGUUGGGUUCAGGGAGUAUGCCACACAGUUUUUGCUUUCACUGAAGUCAGGUUUCAGGCCAGCCUCUGCUUUAUUCCUAUUGUUUUGUUAUUUACAUACCUAUUUGAUUAAAUAAUAUGGUGGCAGCCACUUUAUGCAUGUGUAUGCCUGGCUCUACAUGAAUUCAUGUGCAUUGUUUAGAGCUACUGUAGGAAUUUGCAAAGCGCCGAGCCAUUUUGCACACCCACAAGGUGCGCAGAAAACUCAUCUGCGGAGGAAUGAGCCUUUUUGAAAAGGGUGGCUCUUUGAGGUGUUGGUAUGUUCAAGUUGUCCAAGCUGACACUUGAAAACCAACUCACUCUGCUUCUCUUUGUUUAUAUAUCUUACGUGGAAUUGUGAUAACAUCCACUGCUUUUUUUUAACGUGUGACAGCAUACAGUGACCCUAUCUGAAGGGCCCUCUUUUAUUUGGCACCUAGUGUCCCGUAUCCGGAACGGACCAACAGCCUGUACCCUUACGCACAUUUCAACUAGAAUCACGUCAUUAAAAAAAAAACACACAUUUUGGAGAGCUGGUUCCAUAUCUCACGAAAACGCAAGGUGCUCUCCUUUUAAAAAUAAAUUUCGCCUGCUGUGAUUCAUGCAGCCGCCCUCAAUCGCCCGAGAGCGCAGAAGGCCACCAAGUUCCUUCGAGUUAUUCAGAGCACGCGAGACAUGCAACCCGAUACGGGCGUGGAGGACAAGUAUCUAGGCCGGGCGCAGCGCUGCUGACCCGUGGGCCGAAAAAAAUAACUGCGUAGCCGCGGGGGGAGCGAAGCGGCGCUGAGCGGCAGAGGAGCGGCC